UACGACUACAUAUCAGGCAUAUCAAUAAGCGGAGGAAAAGAAACUAACUAGGAUUCCCUCAGUAACGGCGAGUGAAGCGGGAAGAGCUCAAAUCUGAAAUCUUCAAGGUUUUACCUUGACGAAUUGUAGUUUAAAGAAGUGUUUUUCUGUUGGUGUUUUGGUAAAAGUUCUUUGGAAUAGGACAUCAUAGAGGGUGAGAAUCCCGUAUUUGACCAUUACUUCCAGCGUUGUGAUACACUUUCAAAGAGUCGGAUUGUUUGGGAAUGCAGUCCAAAAUGGGUGGUAAAUCUCAUCUAAAGCUAAAUAUUGGCGAGAGACCGAUAGCGAACAAGUACCGUGAGGGAAAGAUGAGAAGAACUUUGAAAAGAGAGUUAAACAGUACGUGAAAUUGUCAAAAGGGAAGCGUUUGACACCAGUGUUGUUUUCUCGAAAAUCAAUUAAAAAGUAUGGGAUUUUGUAUUGUUAAGACCUUAUCAGCUUACGGUACUUUUUUCUUAUUCUUUCUUAAUGCACUUUUCGUUUAACAAGUCAACAUCAAUUUCUUUUGUUGUAAAAGGGUAUGAGGAAGGUGGCUUUCACUUUCGGUAGAAAGUGUUUAUAGCCUUGUGCCUCUGCAAUCGGAGAGAUUGAGGUCUGCAGCGUAGAUCCUUCGGGGUUAGAUACGUUAGAUGCUAAGUUAUAGCUUUUUCAUAGACAACUUGUUGACUAUGAUUUAAGUCAUUGUAGCUUACUCGCUUGACGCUAUUUUACCUACGCUUAGGAUGUUGAAUCUGUGCGAGACUAC
rnacentral:rRNA from 1 species